GACGAACGCUGGCGGCGUGCUUAACACAUGCAAGUCGAACGGAAAGGCCCUGCUUUUGUGGGGUGCUCGAGUGGCGAACGGGUGAGUAACACGUGAGUAACCUGCCCUUGACUUUGGGAUAACUUCAGGAAACUGGGGCUAAUACCGGAUAGGAGCUCCUGCUGCAUUGUGGGGGUUGGAAAGUUUCGGCGGUUGGGGUUGGACUCGCGGCUUAUCAGCUUGUUGGUGGGGGAGUGGCUUACCCAGGCUUUGACGGGUAGCCGGCCUGUGAGGGUGACCGGCCACAUUGGGACUGAGAUACGGCCCAGACUCCUACGGGAGGCAGCAGUGGGGAAUAUUGCACAAUGGGCGGAAGCCUGAUGCAGCAACGCCGCGUGCGGGAUGACGGCCUUCGGGUUGUAAACCGCUUUCGCCUGUGACGAAGCGUGAGUGACGGUAAUGGGUAAAGAAGCACCGGCUAACUACGUG
rnacentral:rRNA from 1 species